ensembl:lncRNA
CACAAACCCUAGCACAAACACAAGUCACAAGGCUCCUCACCUGGCCUCAGCCCUCGGUGUCCCCCAAACUGGCCUAACUGGUGGCGCCUGAGCCAGGACAGCUGAAUGACCAGCCGGGGCCCCGGAACCAGGGGUGGGAUCAAGAAGAGAGACAGGUGCACGGCGAUCAUCAGUACAGGCACAGCUUUGUCCACCCAGGACUCCUGCCACUGGGUCCCUGAAUGUUCCUCCCUGAGCGGGCAAUGAGAGAGUAAGCCCCCACUUUCCUCCUUCUUCCUGCUGCUUUUGCCACCGCCUCCCACUUCUUGAUAAGAAUCUGAGUGAAGCGCCUGCCAGGACACGGCUGGAUCUCUUAAAACACAAGGGGAAAUGUUUAUGUUUCCUCUCCACCCUGCCGGGUCACCUCCUCCAGGGUACUGCCAGCCAAGGGCACUGCCUGGUGAGACGAAUCAGGACUUGCUCAGUUCACAGGGUCUGCAGCUUAGAGAGGGAGCUGCGGCUGUUGCUAAGUCGCUUAGGUCGUGUCCGACUCUGUGCGACCCUGUAGACGGAAGCCCACCAGGCUCCCCUGUCCCUGGGAUUCUCCAGGUAAGAACACUGGAGUGGGCUGCCAUUUCCUUCUCCAAUGUGUGAAAGUGAAAAGUGAAAGUGAAGUCGCUCAGUCGUGUCCGACUCUGUGCGACCCCAUAGACGGAAGCCCACCAGACUCCUCUGUCCGUGGGAUUUUCCAGGCAAGAGUACUGGAGUGGGGUGCCAUUGCCUUCUCCGUAGGGAGGGAGAGCUCCCUUCAAAACAGAGAAUUUCUCUGGAGGGCCGGUGGGACAGGAACCAUCUAACAUCAAGGCUGGUUUAUGAGAGUGACAAAAAUUUGGAAUCUGGGGAUGGGCAAGGAGUGGAAACAGCUGUCAAAAUUCCUGAGUCCCAAAGCCAUGGCCCAGUGACUCCAAAUGCCACUAGCCAUUCUGGGCAGAGAUAGUCUCCAAACUGAGUGCUCCUUGUUCAAGGGCCUCUGUGCUCUUAGGUCCCAGACCACAUAGCUAAGGGACUAAUAGCAGGCUGUGUCUGCUGAAGAGAAUCAUGAAGGUGAAAGGAGGCCCACAAAAUUCUGGAGAAUCAUUUCCUGCUU